rnacentral:sRNA from 1 species
GUGCAAAUUAUUGAUUUAGAUCAUUUCCAUUUCUAUUCUCAAUCUCUUUUUGAGCGUUCCAACCAAUUACAUUGCUGCCCCGAACCAAUAUAAUAUUUACAAUAGUAUCAUAGCCGGCUCCAAUGGAUCGUUGUAAUCCAUUAUGGACCGCCCAACUUCAGCCCACAAAAGAAAUUGUCCACACGAAAACGCUCAAUAAUCUAUAAACGGACCAUUUGACAUAUUUAAGUGUUUUGCAAGCCCAAAGUAAUCAUAUUCACUCAACAAAAAGUAUAAAAAAUCUGAAAUUUAAUUUAGGUCGUUGCUAAGCUUGUUGUAGGGUACGUACGUUUGGGAGCAUUUUAAUUAGAAUAAGAUUAGAAAUUUAGAAUAGUUUUAAUCCUCCGAAACUUUUU